rnacentral:lncRNA from 1 species
CCCUUACCUGAAUUCCUUGCAAAAAUCUGAAGCAAACCUUCACUCUCUUCCUCUGGAUCACCUUUAGCCUCUUGCCCUAACCUUCCUCCUCUUUUCUCCAAGUUUCUACGUAAGAUGAAUUCUAACCAUUUUUCCCAAUUCUUUUUUUUUCUUCUAGUAAACCUCUUUCUCCCAUUAGGUUUUUCCUAUAUUACCCUCAACUUAACCUUGUAAU